CCUGACUGCUAUUGGAGUAGGACUAAGUCACGCUAGUCAAAGGUGCGGAAUGGAGCAGCUGGCGUACGGCUCAGUAACACGUAGUCAACCUACCCUAAGGACGAGGACAACCACGGGAAACUGUGGCUAAUACUCGAUAAGAAAUUUGGCCUGGAACGGUAUCUUUCACAAAACCGGCUCGCCGUGAGACACGGGCCUUAGGAUGGGGCUGCGGCUGAUUAUGCUAGAUGGCGGUGUAAAGGACCACCAUGGCUACGAUCAGCAUGGGCGAUGGAAGUCGGAGCCCAGAGUCGGCUACUGAGACAAGGAGCCGAGCUUUACGAAGCUUAGCGGUCGCGAAAACUCGCCAAUGCACGAAAGUGUGAGUGGGCUACUCCAAGUGUCAUUCUUACGGAUGACUGUCGCUCAGUCUUACCAGCUGAGAAAGGAAGGAGAGGGCAAGGCUGGUGCCAGCCGCCGCGGUAAAACCAGCUCUUCGAGUGGUCAGGACGAAUAUUGGGUCUAAAGCGCUCGUAGCCGGACAAGUAGGUUCUUGGUUAAACCCGACAGCAUAACUGUUGGCCUGCUGGGAAUACCGCUAGUCUUGGAAGCGGGAGAGGACAGAGGUAGUCAUAGGGCAGGGGUGAAAUCCAGUGAUCCUAUGGCGACCACCGAUGGCGAAGGCAUCUGUCUGGAACGUAUUCGACGGUGAGGGGCGAAAGCUAGGGGAGCGACCCGGAUUAGAUACCCGGUUAGUCCUAGCCGUAAACGAUGCGGACUAGGUGUUACAGCGGCCAAGAGCCACUGUAGUGCCACAGCGAAGGCGUUAAGUCCGCCACCUGGGGAGUACGGAUGCAAGUCUGAAACUUAAAGGAAUUGACGGGGGCGCACCACCAGGAGUGAAGCCUGCGGUUUAAUUGGAUUCAACGCCGGG
rnacentral:rRNA from 1 species